rnacentral:lncRNA from 1 species
CUCAAUUAAUGGUACUUGUUUUAGGUGUCGUGGGUGAAGCGAGAGGACGACCAGCUUCAUCUCAUAACAUUUGGCACCAACACCUACGUCAACAGCAAGAGGUUUUCACUGUUCCACGACAACCCUGACUCGUGGGAGCUCGUCAUCUCACCCGUGCUGGAGGAGGACGCCGGUGUCUACGUGUGCCAAGUCUCCAUUCACCCGCCCAUGAAAAUUAGCAUACGGCUCUACGUAACAGUGCCGGUGGUGAGCAUCAUGGACGACCGUAACACGGCCAUCCACGAGAAGUUCUACGAGGUUGGGUCUCGCGUGGAGCUCCAGUGUCGCGGCCACGCGCUGCCGCCCGACGCGCUGCC